rnacentral:rRNA from 1 species
AAACCAGCAUCUCAAGUGGUCAGGAUGAUUAUUGGGCCUAAAGCAUCCGUAGCCGGCUCUGUUAGUUUUCGGUUAAAUCCAUAUGCUCAACAUAUGGGCUGCCGGGAAUACUGCAAAGCUAGGGAGUGGGAGAGGUAGACGGUACUCCGUAGGAAGGGGUAAAAUCCUUUGAUCUAUGGAUGACCACCUGUGGCGAAGGCGGUCUACCAGAACACGUUCGACGGUGAGGGAUGAAAGCUGGGGGAGCAAACCGGAUUAGAAACCCUGGUAGUCC